rnacentral:piRNA from 1 species
UGCACACCUGAUGGCCUGGAAUUGGGCUGU